rnacentral:rRNA from 1 species
ACUAACUCUAGCCCUAACAAACUCCUACACAACUAUUACUUAUAUUAAACCAAAACAUUCAACCUAUUAUCAGUAUUGGAGAAAGAACAUUACCACAGGAGCUAUAGAACAAGUACCGCAAGGGAAAGAUGAAAGAAUAUUUUAAAGUAAAAACAAGCAAAGAUAAACCCUUGUACCUUUUGCAUAAUGAAUUAACUAGAAAACACCUAACAAAAAGAACUUAAGUUAGGAACCCCGAAACCAAACGAGCUACCUAAAAACAAUUUAUUGAAUCAACCCGUCUAUGUAGCAAAAUAGUGGGAUGAUUUUUAGGUAGAGGUGAAAAGCCAAACGAGCUUGGUGAUAGCUGGUUACCCAAAAAAAUGAAUAUCAGUUCAACUUUAAAUUUACCAAAAAGAACAUCUAAUCCUCACGUAAAUUUAAAAUUUAGCCAAAAGAGGGACAGCUCUUUAGGAACGGAAAAAACCUUAAGUAGUGAAUAAAUAAAGACUAUCACUUAACCAUUGUAGGCCUUAAAGCAGCCACCAAUAAAGAAAGCGUUCAAGCUCAACACUAAAAGUCCACUAAUACAACAAAUAACAAUAAAUUCCUACUCUAUCAAUUGGGUUAAUCUAUAGGAACAUAGAUGAGAUACUGUUAAUAUGAGUAACAAGAAUCUUUAUUCUCCAAGCACAAGUGUAUAACAACACCGGAUACCCAUUGUUAUUUACCAAAUUAUAGGUAUUAGCCCCAAAGAUUGAACCCCCUAACAUUAAACUGUUAACCCAACACAGGAGUGCUUUAAGGAAAGAUUAAAAAAAAUAAAAGGAACUCGGCAAACCCGAAUCCCGCCUGUUUACCAAAAACAUCACCUCUAGCAUAUCAAGUAUUAGAGGCAUUGCCUGCCCAGUGAAAAUUUUUUAACGGCCGCGGUAUCCUGACCGUGCAAAGGUAGCAUAAUCACUUGUUCCUUAAUUAGGGACUAGAAUGAACGGCUAAACGAGGAUUCAACUGUCUCUUAUUUUUAAUCAGUGAAAUUGACCUUCCAGUGAAGAGGCUGGAAUACCCAAAUAAGACGAGAAGACCCUAUGGAGCUUAAAUUUAAGGCUUAAUUAUUAUUCUCACAACCCAACGGUACAACACAAAUAAUCCUAAGCUUAAAAUUUCGGUUGGGGUGACCUCGGAGAAUAAAAAAUCCUCCGAAUGAUUAUAACAAAGACCCACAAGUCAAAGUAAAUCACAUAUCUUAUUGACCCAAAAAUUUUGAUCAAUGGACCAAGUUACCCUAGGGAUAACAGCGCAAUCCUAUUUUAGAGUCCAUAUCGACAAUUAGGGUUUACGACCUCGAUGUUGGAUCAGGACAUCCCAAUGGCGCAGAAGCUAUUAAUGGUUCGUUUGUUCAACGAUUAAAGUCCUACGUGAUCUGAGUUCAGACCGGAGUAAUCCAGGUCGGUUUCUAUCUAUUAACAAUUUCUCCCAGUACGAAAGGACAAGAGAAAUAGAGCCAACUUUCCAAAGCGCUCUCGAUACAAUUUAUGAAGUUAAUCUCAAUAAAAUAUACAUGUACAAAACAAACACCUAGAUAAGGUU